AUGGGAGGGAGGGGAAGUCAAGGGAGUGGCUUCUUGGUAUUAUACGUGUGUGUGUGUGUGUGGUGUUUGUGGUGGUGUAAAUGUUUGUGCGUGGGUGUGUAUGAUGUGGCUGCGGGAGCAGAGCGUCAGAAUAGCGGACGUCCUGACUCCAAGAGGGUUACUGCUGAUAGAGAGGGAGAGAGAGAAAGAGAGAGAGGCAGUCAGUCGCGUGAAGAGAAGGCAUGUAAAUAUCUUUCCUCGUCAGUCUGUGCUCAUUUCUGUCUGAGCAGAGAAUGGGAUGUGCCUGCCUCUGUGUUUACAUUUCAGGAGACCGAGAAGGAGAGCCGCAGUGAGCGUAUCCGAUCUCCAAUCUGGGAGUUAAGCAGCCAGCAGACACAACAAAACAGAGAGCAACAGAGAAUAGGUUCCAACUCAGGGAUGGUGUUGGUUCUGGAUCACCUGGCAAAGGAUGACGGACCUCUGUUGAUCCAGCCUCAGCGAGAAGCUGUGACCAAGGAGGCCGACCUGGUUAUGUCUCACUGUCAGAGGUCAGACUCCUCCGAUCUUAGCGCAGCCUCGAUGCUUUCCAAGCCCAAUCUGGAUUCUGUGGCCUCAGAGAAAGGUCUGGGCUCAGCUUACAGAGCCCGGCUGGACUCCGGAGCCUCAGACAAGAGCCAGAGUUCCUCCCAGCGUGGUCGGCUGGACUCCGGGGCAUCAGACAGAAGCAUCAACUCCCAGUCCUGUGCCAGACAGAGACUGGGCUCAGAUGUCUCGGAUUCAUGCGUCAGACCCCGUCUGGGCUCCGAGACUUCAGACAGCAUCGGCCUGUUGUCAAGGAAGCGGACGGUCUCUGGCACAUCUGAUCAGAGUGCAAGCAUGUCCUCAGAGGAGCAGGCGCCAUCGGAGGAGGCGGAGGUAGCCAGGAGUGAAUCGACUUGCAGCACAGAUUCAGAAACUGACAGCAGAAGCCGAAGUUCAGCCGGUACCCAAGCUGAGUCUAACCAGGAGGAGCCUGAUGGGGCGGUUUUAUCUCGGAGAGAUCCCGUGAAUGGCCUGCUCAGCGGGAAAACUGACAUCCAGAGGCAAAAGGUGGAGUGUGUGUGUGUGCGUUUGCAUCUGUGUGUGCUUCAGGAUUCAGUCAUAUUCCUAAAUUAA
rnacentral:lncRNA from 1 species